rfam:Myotis lucifugus cont2.38363, whole genome shotgun sequence.
GGCCUCCCUCUGUGGGGAGAUUGAUCUGGGGGCCCUGUGAUCAAUCCCCCUGCAGAGGGAGGCC